rnacentral:rRNA from 1 species
UACGGAGGGUGCGAGCGUUGUCCGGAAUCACUGGGCGUAAAGGGCGCGUAGGUGGCGCGGGCAGUCAACGGUGAAAGUUCGGGGCUCAACCCUGAAUCGGCCGUCGAUACUCCCGGGCUUGAGCACUGUAGAGGCAGAUGGAAUUCCGGGUGUAGCGGUGGAAUGCGUAGAGAUCCGGAAGAACACCGGUGGCGAAGGCGGUCUGCUGGGCAGUAGCUGACACUGAGGCGCGACAGCGUGGGGAG